AGUCUUCUCGCAAGUCAACGUUUGGCCAUCAAUGAGUAAACAUUUUAUAUCUGUAUCUCAACUUUACUGAAUUGAGACUAUAAAUACAUCACAACACUCUUCAUAUCAAUGUAAAGGGAAAAGUGAAUAAAAUAUAGUAAGCAUUAUCAAUCACUUGGAAACCAUGAAGGUCAUUCUUAUUGCUUUCUUACUCUUUGCUUCUCUUUUCUUCCUUCCCACUUCAACUAUGGCUCGACAACUCAGAGGUAAUAAUAUCUUCUAACUUCUCUGUACUUCCUUAAUUCUCGUAUGCACCAAAGAAAUCAAUAUCAAACUUGAAACUCACCAACCGUGCUUUUUAUAACUUAUUUGGGUAAACUUCUGAGUACAAAUAUAAAAAGGUAAUUUAUUUUUUUCCUUUUUAUUUGAUUUUUUAUCAGUAGAAGUAGAUGAAAAGCAUGUUUUGGUAUAGUUGAAACAAUUUCUUUUUGGAAAAAGUCCUUUUAACAAUUUUUUUUUUACAACUUUUUGACAACGCAUAUAUAACAAUUUGUAAUUCGUCCGUUUCAAAUAAUUUUUAGAACAGACCAAUAGAAUAGUAAUACGUAUCUUAUUGUAAAAAAGUUGUUAAAAAAAAGUUAUUAAAAUAUCAUUAUUUUUUUUUUAUGUGAGACCAUUAUAACUAAAGUAAUUAUCUAUAUUCACUCUUGUGCAGAAGGAACGUUUCAGACAGGAAACCCUAAUGACCCUAAUAAUCCUGCUAUUAAGUGUCCUCCCGGUAAGCCUUAUAUAAGUUGCCUUCCAUCGAAACCACCACCCCGAAAAAAUUGCUCACCAUAUGUACGCAAUUGCUGAUAUCUGAAUGAAUUAAACAGUUUUACCUGUUCCAAGUGUCAUUUAAAACUUCCUAUGUUAAACCAUGGUGCUACCAUCCCUAUGUUUUACCUUAUUUGGCUUAAAUGUGCUGUUUAAUAAGGGUUUGGCCUCUAGGCCAAUCCAAUAAAUAAGAACAUGGUUGCGUUUCCUUUUCGUUUUUGUUGAGUUUGUUGCUAUAUGUGCCAUCUUUAAUGAAGGAUGUAAAAAUAGUCUUCGCUC
rnacentral:lncRNA from 1 species